rnacentral:rRNA from 1 species
CCGGUCUCAGUUCGGAUCGCAGUCCGCAACUCGACUGCGUGAAGGUGGAGUCGCUAGUAAUCGCGGAUCAGCAACGCCGCGGUGAAUGCGUUCCCGGGCCUUGUACACACCGCCCGUCAAGUCAUGAAAGUGGGCAGCACCCGAAGACGGUGGCCUAACCCUUGUGGGGGGAGCCGUCUAAGGUGAGGCUCGUGAUUGGGACUAAGUCGUAACAAGGUAGC